CCUUAGAUUUUUGCCUAAUUUUUCAAAUGGGUUGCCCCUGCCCUCUUCCAUAUUAAUGGUUUGGUCAUUAUCAAGUAAGUUAAUUACCCUCUAGUUUAAUGGAUUUUUGUUUUUUAAUUGGGUAUUUUCUUUUAAUUUAAAUGGAUCCUUAGUGGAAGUAUUCGGGUCCUUACUCAUAUUAAACGGAUCCACAAACGAUUGACCACGCAUUCACGUUUUACUUAUACAAAAGGUUAAUAAUAAUCUCACCUAACAUCAUUAUGAAAAACUUAAUCAUGAAGAAAUCAAUUAGAUUUCAUUGAAUCUUCCUCUCUUACAUUUUGAUUGUUGAUCGAGACGAGCAAGAUCUAGCCACUAUUAUUGGAGACCACGGUGGCCAUGGAAAGAAACAUCACACCAACCUUAUCUGCAAAUUUUGACGGAGACGGCUGCCGGCCUGGAUUUUUUCAUGGGUCCAAGUCAACAAGUCCAGAUCACUCCUAGUUGUGUGGUUGUUUAAUAAAAUAAUAGAAGUAUGGAAACUGGUUGUGCAGCCUUAGAGGAUCCUAAUCGAUGGCACGAGUUUUUUCAAAAUCGAUUCACAACGGCGGAGAUACUAUGAUGAUGUUGUAUAUGGUGGGCUUCUCUCUCUCCAUCUUGUCCAUGGCGAUCUUCGUAUGUGGAAAAUCCAAGAAAAAAAUGAAACAUGGUGGCCAUGGUGGUAGUUCUAGUGCCGAUGGCGGUGAUGGAGGAGGUGGCGGCAACGGAGGAGGUGGUGGCGGCAACGGAGGAGGUGGUGGCGGCAAUGGAGGAGGUGGUGGCGGCAACGGAGGAGGCUAGGAGGAGUAGUUAAUGCUUAACUAUAGUAUAAUUAUAUAAAUAAAAUAAGAAUUGUUAUUUUCUAUUUUGUGAAUGAUUGGUUUGAGCAAAGAUUGAUCAAUAUAUAUGCAAAUACACUACAAAAAAAAUAAACUUUUAACGACCGAUUUUGGCAUUAAUGUCUAAAUUUUCGCCUAUCUUUUGAAAUCAUUCUUUCGAAAACCCACAAAAAAUCAUAAAUCCCCAAUUCUGUUUGUCUAAUUUUUGUCUAUAUGGUCUUAAAAUUAUAAUUUUUAUUUAAAUAUUUUUUUUCGGGUUGGUAGAUCUCU
rnacentral:lncRNA from 1 species